rnacentral:rRNA from 1 species
UCGGGCGGCCACAGCGGCGGGGCACCACCCGUACCCAUCCCGAACACGGAAGUUAAGCCCGCCAGCGUUCCGGCAAGUCCUGGAGUGCGAGAGCCUCUGGAAACACCGGUUCGCCGCCCACC